CACGUAGUUAGCCGGGGCUUCUUAGUCAGGUACUGUCACUUUCUUCCCUGCUGAUAGGGCUUUACAUACCGAGAUACUUCAUCGCUCACGCGGCGUCGCUGCAUCAGGGUUUCCCCCAUUGUGCAAUAUUCCCCACUGCUGCCUCCCGCAGGAGUCUGGGCCGUGUCUCAGUCCCAAUGUGGCCGGCCGCCCUCUCAGGCCGGCUACUGAUCGUCGCCUUGGUGGGCCGUUACCCCGCCAACGAGCUAAUCAGACGCGGGCCCAUCCCAUACCACCGGAGUUUUCCCCAGGAAGCUAUGCAGCCUCCUGGGCGUAUGCGGUAUUAGCAGCCGUUUCCGGCUGUUAUCCCCCGGUAUGGGGCAGGUUGCCCACGCGUUACUCACCCGUCCGCCACUCAGACAGCUACUGUUCCUCCCCGAAGGGAAUCCCUGCAGCCGCUUCGUUCGACUUGCAUGUGUUAAGCACGCCGCCAGCGUUCAUCCUGAGCCAGGAUCAAACUCU
rnacentral:rRNA from 1 species